GAAGUCGCCUAGACAGUCGCCGGGCGCUUUGUGCGCCGGGAGGAAAGUCCGGGCUCCGCAGAGCAGGAUGCCGGCUAACGGCCGGGCGCUAUACGCCGCAAGGCAAAGGCGACGGAAAGUGCAACAGAGAAUAGACCGCCGAUGGCCCCGCCGGAAACGGCAGGGAUCAGGUAAGGGUGAAACGGCGAGGUAAGAGCUCACCGCGGACGCGGCAACGCGGACGGCACGGCAAACCCCAUCCGGAGCAAGGCCGAAUAGGGAAGCAAUGACGUGGCUCGCGUCGCUUCCGGGUUGGCUGCUUGAGCGCGUCGGUAACGGCGUGCCUAGAGGAAUGACUGUCCACGACAGAACCCGGCUUACCGGGCGGCUUCCCCG
rnacentral:RNase_P_RNA from 1 species